AUACCUUGUUAUGCCAAGACACCUAGUGUUUGGUACAAUGUUGGACAACACCAAUCAUGGAGCAUAGAACGUGUUUGCGACAGAAACCAGAAACUUUAACUCGGAAUCAAAAACAGUUGCCUUGGGUCUAAUGGAGGUAUCUUGCUCCAAGGAAUGGCACAACAAUAGAAACCUCAGAAAGGGCAUCCAUGGAAGGGAAGUUAGAUGGUCGAAGAGGAGCAAAGUCUGAAUCCAAGGAAAUGUGCUUCUCAAACUACUCUCCCACACACCCGUAGAACAGUGGGGUUUUGCUGCCACAUUUCACUAAACUGGAAUUGAACUGGGGUCUCCUGCAUUGCACACGGAGUCUUUACCAGCUGAG
ensembl:lncRNA